AGAUUGAACGCUGGCGGCAUGCUUUACACAUGCAAGUCGAACGGUAACAGGCCGCAAGGUGCUGACGAGUGGCGAACGGGUGAGUAAUGCAUCGGAACGUGCCCAGUCGUGGGGGAUAACGCAGCGAAAGCUGCGCUAAUACCGCAUACGAUCUAUGGAUGAAAGCGGGGGACCGUAAGGCCUCGCGCGAUUGGAGCGGCCGAUGUCAGAUUAGGUAGUUGGUGGGGUAAAGGGCUCACCAAGCCAACGAUCUGUAGCUGGUCUGAGAGGACGACCAGCCACACUGGGACUGAGACACGGCCCAGACUCCUACGGGAGGCAGCAGUGGGGAAUUUUGGACAAUGGGCGCAAGCCUGAUCCAGCAAUGCCGCGUGCAGGAAGAAGGCCUUCGGUUGUAAAACUGCCUUUUUGUAACGGUAACGAAAAGGCUACUGGUUAAUACCUGGAGCCCGAUGACGUACCGUAAGAAUAAGCACCGGCUAACCACGUGCCAGCACG
rnacentral:rRNA from 1 species